rnacentral:rRNA from 1 species
GGGUUGUGAGGUUAAGCGACUAAGCGUACACGGUGGAUGCCCUGGCAGUCAGAGGCGAUGAAGGACGUGCUAAUCUGCGAAAAGCGUCGGUAAGGUGAUAUGAACCGUUAUAGCCGGCGAUGUCCGAAUGGGGAAACCCAGUGCAAUUCGUUGCACUAUCGUUAACUGAAUACAUAGGUUAACGAGGCGAACCGGGGGAACUGAAACAUCUAAGUACCCCGAGGAAAAGAAAUCAACCGAGAUUCCCCCAGUAGCGGCGAGCGAACGGGGAGCAGCCCAGAGUCUGAAUCAGCUUGUGUGUUAGUGGAACGGUCUGGAAAGUCCGACGGUACAGGGUGAUAGUCCCGUACACCAAAAUGCACAGGCUGUGAACUCGAAGAGUAGGGCGGGACACGUGGUAUCCUGUCUGAAUAUGGGGGGACCAUCCUCCAAGGCUAAAUACUCCUGACUGACCGAUAGUGAACCAGUACCGUGAGGGAAAGGCGAAAAGAACCCCGGCGAGGGGAGUGAAAAAGAACCUGAAACCGUGUACGUACAAGCAGUGGGAGCACCUUCGGGUGUGACUGCGUACCUUUUGUAUAAUGGGUCAGCGACUUAUAUUCUGUAGCAAGGUUAACCGUAUAGGGGAGCCGCAGGGAAACCGAGUCUUAACUGGGCGUUAAGUUGCAGGGUAUAGACCCGAAACCCGGUGAUCUAGCCAUGGGCAGGUUGAAGGUUGGGUAACACUAACUGGAGGACCGAACCGACUAAUGUUGAAAAAUUAGCGGAUGACUUGUGGCUGGGGGUGAAAGGCCAAUCAAACCGGGAGAUAGCUGGUUCUCCCCGAAAGCUAUUUAGGUAGCGCCUCGUGAAUUCAUCUUCGGGGGUAGAGCACUGUUUCGGCUAGGGGGUCAUCCCGACUUACCAACCCGAUGCAAACUACGAAUACCGAAGAAUGUUAUCACGGGAGACACACGGCGGGUGCUAACGUCCGUCGUGAAGAGGGAAACAACCCAGACCGCCAGCUAAGGUCCCAAAGUCAUGGUUAAGUGGGAAACGAUGUGGGAAGGCACAGACAGCCAGGAUGUUGGCUUAGAAGCAGCCAUCAUUUAAAGAAAGCGUAAUAGCUCACUGGUCGAGUCGGCCUGCGCGGAAGAUGUAACGGGGCUAAACCAUGCACCGAAGCUGCGGCAGCGACACUAUGUGUUGUUGGGUAGGGGAGCGUUCUGUAAGCCUGCGAAGGUGACCUGUGAGGGUUGCUGGAGGUAUCAGAAGUGCGAAUGCUGACAUAAGUAACGAUAAAGCGGGUGAAAAGCCCGCUCGCCGGAAGACCAAGGGUUCCUGUCCAACGUUAAUCGGGGCAGGGUGAGUCGACCCCUAAGGCGAGGCCGAAAGGCGUAGUCGAUGGGAAACAGGUUAAUAUUCCUGUACUUGGUGUUACUGCGAAGGGGGGACGGAGAAGGCUAUGUUAGCCGGGCGACGGUUGUCCCGGUUUAAGCAUGUAGGCUGAUUGUCCAGGCAAAUCCGGAUAAUCAAGGCUGAGGUGUGAUGACGAGGCACUACGGUGCUGAAGUAACAAAUGCCCUGCUUCCAGGAAAAGCCUCUAAGCAUCAGGUAACAUCAAAUCGUACCCCAAACCGACACAGGUGGUCAGGUAGAGAAUACCAAGGCGCUUGAGAGAACUCGGGUGAAGGAACUAGGCAAAAUGGUGCCGUAACUUCGGGAGAAGGCACGCUGGUGUGUAGGUGAAGCCCCUGCGGGUGGAGCUGAGACCAGUCGAAGAUACCAGCUGGCUGCAACUGUUUAUUAAAAACACAGCACUGUGCAAACACGAAAGUGGACGUAUACGGUGUGACGCCUGCCCGGUGCCGGAAGGUUAAUUGAUGGGGUUAUCCGUAAGGAGAAGCUCUUGAUCGAAGCCCCGGUAAACGGCGGCCGUAACUAUAACGGUCCUAAGGUAGCGAAAUUCCUUGUCGGGUAAGUUCCGACCUGCACGAAUGGCGUAAUGAUGGCCAGGCUGUCUCCACCCGAGACUCAGUGAAAUUGAACUCGCUGUGAAGAUGCAGUGUACCCGCGGCAAGACGGAAAGACCCCGUGAACCUUUACUAUAGCUUGACACUGAACAUUGAGCCUUGAUGUGUAGGAUAGGUGGGAGGCUUUGAAGCGUGGACGCCAGUCUGCGUGGAGCCAACCUUGAAAUACCACCCUUUAAUGUUUGAUGUUCUAACGUUGGCCCCUGACCGGGGUUGCGGACAGUGUCUGGUGGGUAGUUUGACUGGGGCGGUCUCCUCCCAAAGCGUAACGGAGGAGCACGAAGGUUAGCUAAUCCUGGUCGGACAUCAGGAGGUUAGUGCAAUGGCAUAAGCUAGCUUGACUGCGAGCGUGACGGCGCGAGCAGGUGCGAAAGCAGGUCAUAGUGAUCCGGUGGUUCUGAAUGGAAGGGCCAUCGCUCAACGGAUAAAAGGUACUCCGGGGAUAACAGGCUGAUACCGCCCAAGAGUUCAUAUCGACGGCGGUGUUUGGCACCUCGAUGUCGGCUCAUCACAUCCUGGGGCUGAAGUAGGUCCCAAGGGUAUGGCUGUUCGCCAUUUAAAGUGGUACGCGAGCUGGGUUUAGAACGUCGUGAGACAGUUCGGUCCCUAUCUGCCGUGGGCGCUGGAGAAUUGAGGGGGGCUGCUCCUAGUACGAGAGGACCGGAGUGGACGCAUCACUGGUGUUCGGGUUGUCAUGCCAAUGGCACUGCCCGGUAGCUAAAUGCGGAAGAGAUAAGUGCUGAAAGCAUCUAAGCACGAAACUUGCCCCGAGAUGAGUUCUCCCUGAGACUUUAAGUCUCCUGAAGGAACGUUAAAGACGAUGACGUUGAUAGGCCGGGUGUGUAAGCGCAGCGAUGCGUUGAGCUAACCGGUACUAAUGAACCGUGAGGCUUAACCUUACAACGCCGAAG